UUUGGGGCAUGUAUUCUGUAAUCUGUAGUGAAAUACUUUUUACAAGUGACCUUCCCAACACUGUCUGUGGGAUACCCUUAAACCUCUGCCUUCUUAAUACCAUGUGAAAGGGUUUUCUCCAGAGAUGGAGAUGUUAUUACCAAAAGGAGAAGCCAGCUGAGUCCAAACACAGUGGAAAAAAUAUUAUUUUUAAUUAAACUUUAUUUUUAUAGCACCAAAUCACAAAAGUGCUUUAUAUUGUAAGAUAAAACCCUACAAUAAUACAAGGACCAACAGAAGACCCCAACAAUUAUAUGAACCCCUAUGAGCAAGUAGGGUGACACACAAGUAGGCAGGGAUUGUAUUCUCAGUAUCACUUAUAAAUAUGAUUCUCUUAUUGAUUCUUAUUGGGUUCUUAUUGGCUCCACUUUGAGCUCUUCCACAAUCUCUAAGCAGCAUAUCGAAGGCAUUACAUUCAUGCAGUACCUUCGAUAUGCCGCUGGGUCAAAUGUUUGUGCAUGUUGGAGGCAUCGCCCCUUCUUGUAGAGAUCAGUGCUGGGGUUGUUAGUCAAAAAAGUAAUGCAUUACACAUAUUACAAAGAACACUGUUCUUUUAAGUAUUGUACUGCAUUAUUUACUCAUUACUUCAACUGAUUACAUUACUUUUGUGUUACUCACUAAAAUAGCUAAAACACAUUGUCACAUAAUAACCAGUUAACAGUAUAAACCAUAGGAAACAGUCCCACACACCAACACAAAUCCCGAUCCUAAUGAGGACACACGUAUGAACUUUCUCUUAGUAUUUAGUUAUGAACACAAAGCGAAAAUGAAAGCCAGCCUUUAAAGCGAUCACCACAGUGAUUCUACUUUAGAAACACAAACAGGUAGAAAUGGAGGCUUCAAGCCUGAUUGUUCCACUUGAUUGUUUGGCCUCAAAUAUGCAAGAAAACUUUUGCGUGAUGCUGUGGUCAUGUGGCAUUACGUUUCUGAAACACAAACAGAGAAGUGGUACAUUUUCUUAGAACUGGUGCACUGGUGAUGCAGGUGAUGAUUUAAAUGAUUAUAUAAGGCGGUGCUGCUGAAAUGUAUAAAAAUCAAAGUGGCAAGAACCAAGUGUUCUUUGUUCCAGUUUGACUGACUUGAACGUAACAGCGUGUCUCAGCUACACUCUGCUCAUCUCGAGUCUUUGCUCCUCAUUUGCUUCAGAGCAUUUCACCUGCUGUUCCAGACGACUGACUUGUGCCUGAACCGCUGCAGGUUAACCAACCAACCAACCACUCAUCAGUGAAAUAAAAAUAAGAGGAUCAUGAAGAGUCAAUUUGUCUGUUUGCUGCUGGGCCUGCUUUCUGCUGUGGAGCUCUGUGCAAGCCUGGACUUCUAUCUAGAACAUGUCAUUGGAAACAUGCAGCCAGACCAAUGUACUACGGUGAUAAGGGAGAGAGGAAUCAAUCAUAACACUCCAUGCAAAGAUCCAAUCACAUUUAUUUUGGCCAAUGAAGGCCGGGUCAAUGACAUCUGUUCACGUGGUAAUGGAAAUGGAAAACAACAAGGUGAACCAUUUAAAAUUGUUGAAUGCAGACAUGAUGGUCGCAGUAAAAGUCCUAAUUGUAUAUAUGCAGGUCAACGCUAUGAUCGCAGGAUUGUUGUUUUAAAGUGUAACAAUAGAGAGCCAGUCGACUUGGAUAGUACAGUGCAAAUUGGCUAAAUUGUUUUGAAUUGUUGCUUUUUGCUUCCUUUGAAGUUUACAGCCAUCCUGGCUACAAUCUCAUGUUAUUGCUUAUCAUGAUUUUUCUUCAGCUUACUUUAAAAAAAACAAUGAAUAGUGAAAAUGCAAUAAAGCAUUUUUUCUGCACUCAGUUAUCUUACAUGGAUUUGCUGAACUCAACUUGCCUUCUGUCUGCUGAAUUGAUCAAAUAAACUUAUUAACCAGC